rnacentral:tRNA from 1 species
CAUAUUAAAGUUUUAUUUGAAUAUUUUCUUUUACAUUGAAGAGGUCUCUUUAUUGAGUAAUAUGAUAAAGAUAUUUUUGAUGGGG